UUGCUUUGGCAGCACAUAUACCAAAAUCGGAAUGAUACAGAGAAGAUCAGCAUGGCAGGUGCACAAGGAUAUUAAAAAAUUUCAUGAAGCAUUAUAUAUAUAU
ensembl:snRNA U6 U6 spliceosomal RNA